UAGGCUUGACAUGCAUGGGAAAGCCCUGAGAAACCAGGGCCCCUCUUCGGAGUCCAUGCACAGGUGCUGCAUGGCUGUCGUCAGCUCGUGUCGUGAGAUGUUGGGUUAAGUCCCGCAACGAGCGCAACCCCCGUUCCCAGUUGACAGCGAGUUAUGUCGGGGACUCUGGGAAGACUGCCGGUGCCAAACCGGAGGAAGGUGGGGAUGACGUA
rnacentral:misc_RNA from 1 species